UAUGGCCACAUCAUAUUGAAGCACUGGUUCCUGUACAAUCACUGAAGUUAAGCAACGUUGGGCUUGGUCAUCAUCAAGAUGGGUGACCAUUUGGAAAUACUAGGUGCUGUAA